AGCAUGUUUCCAUGGGAUCUGGAAGAGUCUGUGAUCUGGACCGAUCCACUGCAGACCUGGGUACCUGCAGCUGUUCACCUGCGCCACCAACCACGGCUUGAGACGAAUGCGGCGAGGUUGCACACUCAUGAUCUGAGGAAACCAACAUUUCCAGGAACAUUUUCCUCCUGAAGACCAUGAAGAAAUCAGUCUUUAUAAAGUGAAGGACUACGUUGGAACCCACAGGAACCAAUCCGCAUGCGAGUAUCAUUCCACCUACAAUCCAAAGGUAAAGUAUGAGCUGAUCAAUACCUCAUCAACAUAGAAACAUCAGGACUAUGAAGUUCACAACAACCACAGCUGGAGUUAGUCUGCACCUCACCAGGACUCAUUGAGGGGCACAGAGGAGACCAAGACGAUCACCAUCGACACAGAAAUCAAACACUGGAACAUCAUCUUCAUCUUCACAGAGAGAAAGUGAGAGAGCUUCACCAAGUAGGCCAUCUUUAUACCUGUUGAACGACCUUCAGCUCAUGGUCACGCGGCCUUCAAACGAGGGACGUCGACCCUCACGAGUCACAUCUGUGUUUGAAGUGAGACUUUAGCCCUGAACUCCGGUCAACGUGUAAUUAAUAAUGUAGAGACACAACUUCACACAAACAUACUUUAUUUCCAACAACUUGGAGUUUUAUAAGUUAACACAAACAGUCACAAAUAGUUUCCAUUUUACAUCAGUCACAUGACAACACCAACUUCCUGGAAUCUGAAACUCAUCAGUUUCCAGGGCAGGAACACAAACAG